UGCCAGACUCCUACGGGAGGCAGCAGUGGGGAAUAUUGCACAAUGGGGGAAACCCUGAUGCAGCGACGCCGCGUGAGCGAUGAAGUAUUUCGGUAUGUAAAGCUCUAUCAGCAGGGAAGAAAAUGACGGUACCUGACUAAGAAGCCCCGGCUAACUACGUGCCAGCAGCCGCGGAAAUACGUAGGGGGGAAAGCGUUAUCCGGAUUUACUGGGUGUAAAGGGAGCGUAGACGGUCCUGCAAGCCAGAUGUGAAAGCCCGGGGCUCAACCCCGGGACUGCAUUUGGAACUGUAAGGCUAGAGUGUCGGAGAGGCAGGCGGAAUUCCUAGUGUAGCGGUGAAAUGCGUAGAUAUUAGGAGGAACACCAGUGGCGAAGGCGGCCUGCUGGACGAUAACUGACGUUGAGGCUCGAAAGCGUGGGGAGCAAACAGGAUUAGAUACCCGGGUACG
rnacentral:rRNA from 1 species